rnacentral:pre_miRNA from 1 species
CACUUAUCCAAACUGGUUGUGGUGUUGAAAAAAAUCAUCACAACCUCCUUGAAUGAGUGU